CAGCCGGUGGCAGAUGGCCCGACUGCCAGAGCCUACGUCUCCCCUAAUGCUGUCUCGAAUGCCACCACCGCCAUCUCCACCGACACCACCAGCCUACGCAUCCUCGUCUCCUUCUGCUUCACCCGCCCGCCGCGCCUCUCCUACCUCUGCGUCCACUGCCGGUUCAUUGUCGAUCCCCGAGUCAUCAGCACGCACGCCGAUGUAGCCCUCCUUCACGUCCCGCACCCCAUCGAUGAGCUCCACCGGGGCAUCGAAUCCUACGACUACGGACUACUUCGUCUACACGGCGCUCCUCGCUCCGGCGGCUGCCAAACCCGCGCAUCUCCCCCUUCCGCAACGAGGAGGUCGCCAUCGACUCGCUACAUCAUCGCCUGCCUCAUGCCCACCAUCAACCACCCCAUGAAGUUCAAGCUUCGGCGCUACGACUCCGACGUCGGCCUCUGGAAAUCCAUGGCGGUGUCCGUCCACGAGCCGGCCGAGAGGGGCAGGUUGCUCCCCAUCACCCACACACCUAGAGAGGUGCUCUUCCAUUGCACCACCAAGGUCAUCACACUCGGCAACGCCGCCGUCGGCUGGGUGGAUCUCUGGAGAGGGAUCCUGCUGUGCGACGACGUGCUCGACCAACACCCUGUGCUCCGCGACCUGCUGCUGCCCAAGCCGGUGAGAAGCAACCGGAAAUCCUGGAUCAAGUACGUGCAGGACACUGCUCCCUCCUGCAUCAAGUACGUCGAGAUGUAUUUGCGAAGGUCAAUGCCAGGAGCCAUCGUUGGGUGUUCCACCAUGAGGAACAUGAGGUAG
rnacentral:lncRNA from 1 species